GACGAACGCUGGCGGCGUGCUUAACACAUGCAAGUCGAACGGAAAGGCCCUGCUUUUGUGGGGUGCUCGAGUGGCGAACGGGUGAGUAACACGUGAGUAACCUGCCCUUGACUUUGGGAUAACUUCAGGAAACUGGGGCUAAUACCGGAUAGGAGCUCCUGCUGCAUGGUGGGGGUUGGAAAGUUUCGGCGGUUGGGGAUGGACUCGCGGCUUAUCAGCUUGUUGGUGGGGUAGUGGCUUACCAAGGCUUUGACGGGUAGCCGGCCUGAGAGGGUGACCGGCCACAUUGGGACUGAGAUACGGCCCAGACUCCUACGGGAGGCAGCAGUGGGGAAUAUUGCACAAUGGGCGGAAGCCUGAUGCAGCAACGCCGCGUGCGGGAUGACGGCCUUCGGGUUGUAAACCGCUUUCGCCUGUGACGAAGCGUGAGUGACGGUAAUGGGUAAAGAAGCACCGGCUAACUACGUGCCAGCAGCCGCGGUGAUACGUAGGGUACGAGCGUUGUCCGGAUUUAUUGGGCGUAAAGGGCUCGUAGGUGGUUGAUCGCGUCGGAAGUGUAAUCUUGGGGCUUAACCCUGAGCGUGCUUUCGAUACGGGUUGACUUGAGGAAGGUAGGGGAGAAUGGAAUUCCUGGUGGAGCGGUGGAAUGCGCAGAUAUCAGGAGGAACACCAGUGGCGAAGGCGGUUCUCUGGGCCUUUCCUGACGCUGAGGAGCGAAAGCGUGGGGAGCGAACAGGCUUAGAUACCCUGGUAGUCCACGCUGUAAACGGUGGGUACUAGGUGUGGGGUCCAUUCCACGGGUUCCGUGCCGUAGCUAACGCUUUAAGUACCCCGCCUGGGGAGUACGGCCGCAAGGCUAAAACUCAAAGGAAUUGACGGGGCCCCGCACAAGCGGCGGAGCAUGCGGAUUAAUUCGAUGCAACGCGUAGAACCUUACCUGGGUUUGACAUGGAUCGGGAGUGCUCAGAGAUGGGUGUGCCUCUUUUGGGGUCGGUUCACAGGUGGUGCAUGCCUGUCGUCAGCUCGUGUCGUGAGAUGUUGGGUUAAGUCCCGCAACGAGCGCAACCCUUGUCCACUGUCGCCAGCACGUUAUGGUGGGGACUCAGUGGAGACCGCCGGGGUCAACUCGGAGGAAGGUGGGGAUGACGUCAAGUCCUCAUGCCCCUUAUGUCCAGGGCUUCACGCAUGCUACAAUGGCUGGUACAGAGAGUGGCGAGCCUGUGAGGGUGAGCGAAUCUCGGAAAGCCGGUCUCAGUUCGGAUUGGGGUCUGCAACUCGCCCUCAUGAAGUCGGAGUCGCUAGUAAUCGCAGAUCAGCAACGCUGCGGUGAAUACGUUCCCGGG
rnacentral:rRNA from 1 species